rnacentral:rRNA from 1 species
GAUGAACGCUGGCGGCGUGCCUAAUACAUGCAAGUCGAACGCUGGAAAUCUAGCUUGCUAGAUUGAAGGAGUGGCGAACGGGUGAGUAAUACAUAAGCAACCUACCCACGAAGACUGGGAUAAUCUCUGGAAACGGGGACUAAUACCGGAUAGGUAAUCGGAAGGCAUCUUCUGAUUAUUAAAGGUUAAAAACACUGGUGGAUGGGCUUAUGGCGCAUUAGUUAGUUGGUGAGGUAACGGCCCACCAAGACGAUGAUGCGUAGCCGGCCUGAGAGGGUGAACGGCCACAUUGGGACUGAGACACGGCCCAGACUCCUACGGGAGGCAGCAGUAGGGAAUUGUAGGCAAUGGGGGAAAACCUGACCGAGCAACGCCGCGUGAGUGAUGACGGCCUUCGGGUUGUAAAGCUCUGUUGUAAGGGAAGAACGGUAGAUAGAGAAUAUCUAAAUGACGGUACCUUAACAGAAAGCCACGGCUAACUACGUG